GGGAUAUGCUCAUAACAGGGGUGCUGAAGAAUGACUCCUUUGUUUAUAACAUGCCCAACAGGAAUCUGGAUUCAUUGUGACAAGGGACACAAAACUUGUUGCUGUUCUCUGAACAGAUGCCUUGCACGU
rnacentral:snoRNA from 1 species